rnacentral:rRNA from 1 species
UGGGGAAUCUUGCACAAUGGGCGGAAGCCUGAUGCAGCGACGCCGCGUGGGGGAUGACGGCCUUCGGGUUGUAAACUCCUUUCGCCAGGGACGAAGCCGUGAGGUGACGGUACCUGGAUAAGAAGCACCGGCUAACUACGUGCCAGCAGCCGCGGUAAUACGUAGGGUGCGAGCGUUGUCCGGAAUUACUGGGCGUAAAGAGCUCGUAGGUGGUUUGUCGCGUCGUCUGUGAAAUUCCGGGGCUUAACUCCGGGCGUGCAGGCGAUACGGGCAUAACUUGAGUGCUGUAAGGGAGACUGGAAUUCCUUGUGUAGCGGUGAAAUUCGCAGAUGUCAGGAGGAACACCGGUGGCGAAGGCAGGUCUCUGGGCAGUAACUGACGCUGAGGAGCGAAAGCAUGGGUAGCGAACAGG